rnacentral:rRNA from 1 species
GACAGAGGGUGCAAACGUUGCUCGGAAUCACUGGGCGUAAAGCGCGUUCAGGCGGUUUGGCAAGUCGGGCAUGAAAUCUCUUGGCUCAACCGGGAGAGGUUGUCCGAUACUUCCAGACUUGAGGGCAGUAGAGGGUGGUGGAAUUCCGGGUGUAGUGGUGAAAUGCGUAGAUAUCCGGAGGAACACCAGUGGCGAAAGCGGCCACCUGGACUGCACCUGACGCUGACACGCGAAAGCUAGGGGAGCGAACGGG